ACACGACCGUACCGCAAACCGACACUGGUGCGCGAUAUGAGUAUUCUAAGGCGCUUGAGAGAACUCAGGAGAAGGAACUCGGCAAAUUGACACCGUAACUUCGGAAGAAGGUGUGCCCUAUUAGUGUGAAGUGAACAACGGAGCAUGAAUGGGUUGCAAAAAAUCGGUGGCUGCGACUGUUUAUUAAAAACACAGCACUCUGCAAACACGAAAGUGGACGUAUAGGGUGUGACGCCUGCCCGGUGCUGGAAGAUUAAAUGAUGGGGUGCAAGCUCUUGAUUGAAGUCCCAGUAAACGGCGGCCGUAACAAUAACGGUCCUAAGGUAGCGAAAUUCCUUGUCGGGUAAGUUCCGACCUGCACGAAUGGCGUAACGAUGGCCACACUGUCUCCUCCUGAGACUCAGCGAAGUUGAAAUGUUUGUGAUGAUGCAAUCUCCCCGCGGAAAGACGGAAAGACCCCAUGAACCUUUACUGUAGCUUUGUAUUGGACUUUGAACAGAUCUGUGUAGGAUAGGUGGGAGGCUUUGAAGCCGGGACGCUAGUUUCGGUGGAGCCAACGUUGAAAUACCACCCUGGUGUGUUUGAGGUUCUAACCUAGGUCCAUUAUCUGGAUCGGGGACAGUGCAUGGUAGGCAGUUUGACUGGGGCGGUCCCCUCCCAAAGCGUAACGGAGGAGUUCGAAGGUACGCUAGUUACGGUCGGACAUCGUGACGAUAGUGCAAUGGCAUAAGCGUGCUUAACUGCGAGACUGACAAGUCGAGCAGAUGCGAAAGCAGGACAUAGUGAUCCGGUGGUUCUGUAUGGAAGGGCCAUCGCUCAACGGAUAAAAGGUACUCUGGGGAUAACAGGCUGAUACCGCCCAAGAGUUCAUAUCGACGGCGGUGUUUGGCACCUCGAUGUCGGCUCAUCUCAUCCUGGGGCUGUAGCCGGUCCCAAGGGUAUGGCUGUUCGCCAUUUAAAGAGGUACGUGAGCUGGGUUUAAAACGUCGUGAGACAGUUUGGUCCCUAUCUUCCGUGGGCGCUGCAGAUUUGAGGAAGCCUGCUCCUAGUACGAGAGGACCGGAGUGGACACACCUCUGGUGUAUCGGUUGUCGCGCCAGUGGCAUUGCCGAGUAGCUAAGUGUGGAAGAGAUAACCGCUGAAAGCAUCUAAGCGGGAAACUCGUUUCAAGAUGAGAUCUGCCGGGGCCUUGAGCCCCCUGAAGAGUCGUUCAAGACCAGGACGUUGAUAGGUCAGGUGUGGAA
rnacentral:rRNA from 1 species